UACGGAGGGUGCGAGCGUUACCCGGAUUUACUGGGCGUAAAGGGCGUGUAGGCGGUUUUCUAAGUCCGGGGCUAAAGACCAGGGCUCAACCCUGGGUUUGCCUUGGAUACUGGAAAGCUCGACGGCUGGAGGGGGCAGCGGAAUUUCCGGAGUAGCGGUGAAAUGCGCAGAGACCGGAAGGAACGCCAAUAGCGAAGGCAGCUGCCUGGACAGUACGUGACGAUGAGGCGCGAAAGAGUGGGGAGCAAACCGG
rnacentral:rRNA from 1 species